rnacentral:rRNA from 1 species
GACGAACGCUGGCGGCGUGCUUAACACAUGCAAGUCGAACGGAAAGGCGCUGCUUUUGUGGGGUGCUCGAGUGGCGAAGGGGUGAGAAACCCGAAAGUACCCUGCCCUUGACUAUGGGAUAACUUCAGGAACCUAGGGCUAUUACCGGAAAUAUGCUCCUGAUGCAUGGUAGGGGUAUGAAAGUUACGGCGGUUGGGGGUGGGCUUGCGGCUUCUCAGCUUGGUUGUGGGGUAGUGGCUUAACAAGGCUUUGAAGGGUUGCCGGCCUGAGAGGGUGACCGGCCACAUUGGGACUGAGAUACGGCCCAGACUCCUUCGGGAGGCAGCAGUGGGGAAUAUUGCACAAUGGGAGGAAGCCUGAUGCAGCAACGCCGCGUGCGGGAUAACGGCCUUCGGGUUGUAAACCGCUUUCGCCUGUGACGAAGCGUGAGUGACGGUAAUGGGUAAAGAAGCACCGGCUAACUACGUG